AUUGAACGCUGGCGGCAGGCCUAACACAUGCAAGUCGAGCGGAUGAAGGGAGCUUGCUCCUGGAUUCAGCGGCGGACGGGUGAGUAAUGCCUAGGAAUCUGCCUGGUAGUGGGGGAUAACGUCCGGAAACGGGCGCUAAUACCGCAUAAGUCCUGAGGGAGAAAGUGGGGGAUCUUCGGACCUCACGCUAUCAGAUGAGCCUAGGUCGGAUUAGCUAGUUGGUGGGGUAAAGGCCUACCAAGGCGACGAUCCGUAACUGGUCUGAGAGGAUGAUCAGUCACACUGGAACUGAGACACGGUCCAGACGCCUACGGGAGGCAGCAGUGGGGAAUAUUGGACAAUGGGCGAAAGCCUGAUCCAGCCAUGCCGCGUGUGUGAAGAAGGUCUUCGGAUUGUAAAGCACUUUAAGUUGGGAGGAAGGGCAGUAAGUUAAUACCUUGCUGUUUUGACGUUACCAACUGAAUAAGCACCGGCUAACUACGUG
rnacentral:rRNA from 1 species